GUGUUCGUGUUGGUAGCACAUAUACUAAAACUAAAAUAAUUCACAGAAGAAUAGCAUGGCCCCUGCACAAGGAUGACAUGCAAAUUCGUGAAGUGUUCCAUAUUUUC
rnacentral:snRNA from 1 species